ensembl:lncRNA
CGAAAAACCACUUUCCCUUGGCUCCUAGCGCCUUCUCGUUCACUGUAUAGCGUUUUGAGCGGAUAAAGAGCACAAGUGUGCAUGGAGACACAGGAUGAAUGGGAACAAGUUUUGUUAUUGCACUUUUGAUGAAAAGUGACUUUCUAGACAUAAAAUGUCACUUUUUUCACCUUAUCAUACUUUUUCAUCAACUUUUGCAUUUUAAUGUAAACAAUCAUAUUUCGUAAUAUUUUGGGUCAGAAACAUUUCAUAGUACUAUAUUAUGUCUAAAUAUGUGAAAAGAAUCAAAUUGGAGUAGGUCGGGCAACUGAUUAUAUGAGUUUGUUCGAAAAACCACUUUCCUUGGUCCUAGCGCCUUCUCGUUCACUGUAUAGCGUUUUGAGCGGAUAAAGAGCACAAGUGUGCAUGGAGACACAGGAUGAAUGGGAACAAGUUUUGUUAUUGCACUUUUGAUGAAAAGUGACUUUCUAGACAUAAAAUGUCACUUUUUUCACCUUAUCAUACUUUUUCAUCAACUUUUGCAUUUUAAUGUAAACAAUCAUAUUUCGUAAUAUUUUGGGUCAGAAACAUUUCAUAGUACUAUACUAUGUCUAAAUAUGUGAAAAGAAUCAAAUUGGAGUAGGUCGGGCAACUGAUUAUGAGUUUGUUCGAAAAACCACUUUCCUUUGCUCCUAGCGCCUUCUCGUUCGCUGUAUAGCGUUUUGAGCGGAUAAAGAGCACAAGUGUGCAUGGAGACACAGG